CCUAAAUCGGGGGAGAACACCAUAAAACAGAUGCUGGUACCGCAUAACAACUUGGACCGCAGGGUCCGAGCUUGAAAGAUGGCUUCGGCUAUCACUUUUGGAUGGUCCCGCGGCGUAUUAGCUAGAUGGUGGGGUAACGGCUCACCAUGGCAAUGAUACGUAGCCGACCUGAGAGGGUAAUCGGCCACAUUGGGACUGAGACACGGCCCAAACUCCUACGGGAGGCAGCAGUAGGGAAUCUUCCACAAUGGACGAAAGUCUGAUGGAGCAACGCCGCGUGAGUGAAGAAGGGUUUCGGCUCGUAAAACUCUGUUGUUAAAGAAGAACAUAUCUGAGAGUAACUGUUCAGGUAUUGACGGUAUUUAACCAGAAAGCCACGGCUAACUACGUGCCAGCAGCCGCGGUAAUACGUAGGUGGCAAGCGUUGUCCGGAUUUAUUGGGCGUAAAGCGAGCGCAGGCGGUUUUUUAAGUCUGAUGUGAAAGCCUUCGGCUCAACCGAAGAAGUGCAUCGGAAACUGGGAAACUUGAGUGCAGAAGAGGACAGUGGAACUCCAUGUGUAGCGGUGAAAUGCGUAGAUAUAUGGAAGAACACCAGUGGCGAAGGCGGCUGUCUGGUCUGUAACUGACGCUGAGGCUCGAAAGUAUGGGUAGCAAACAGGAUUAGAUACCCUGGUAGUCCAUACCGUAAACGAUGAAUGCUAAGUGUUGGAGGGUUUCCGCCCUUCAGUGCUGCAGCUAACGCAUUAAGCAUUCCGCCUGGGGAGUACGGCCGCAAGGCUGAAACUCAAAGGAAUUGACGGGGGCCCGCACAAGCGGUGGAGCAUGUGGUUUAAUUCGAAGCUACGCGAAGAACCUUACCAGGUCUUGACAUACUAUGCAAAUCUAAGAGAUUAGACGUUCCCUUCGGGGACAUGGAUACAGGUGGUGCAUGGUUGUCGUCAGCUCGUGUCGUGAGAUGUUGGGUUAAGUCCCGCAACGAGCGCAACCCUUAUUAUCAGU
rnacentral:rRNA from 2 species